GUACUCGAGCGGCGAACGGGUGAGUAACACGUGAGCAACCUGCCCCUGACUCUGGGAUAAGCCCGGGAAACUGGGUCUAAUACCGGAUAUAACCACUGGUCUCAUGAUCGGGUGGUGGAAAGUUUUUCGGUUGGGGAUGGGCUCGCGGCCUAUCAGCUUGUUGGUGGGGUGAUGGCCUACCAAGGCGACGACGGGUAACCGGCCUGAGAGGGCGACCGGUCACACUGGGACUGAGACACGGCCCAGACUCCUACGGGAGGCAGCAGUGGGGAAUAUUGCGCAAUGGGCGGAAGCCUGACGCAGCGACGCCGCGUGAGGGAUGACGGCCUUCGGGUUGUAAACCUCUUUCAGCAGGGACGAAGCUAACGUGACGGUACCUGCAGAAGAAGCGCCGGCUAACUACGUGCCAGCAGCCGCGGUAAUACGUAGGGCGCAAGCGUUGUCCGGAAUUAUUGGGCGUAAAGAGCUCGUAGGCGGUUUGUCGCGUCUGUCGUGAAAGCCCACGGCUUAACCGUGGGUCUGCGGUGGAUACGGGCAGACUAGAGGCAGGUAGGGGAGAAUGGAAUUCCCGGUGUAGCGGUGAAAUGCGCAGAUAUCGGGAGGAACACCGGUGGCGAAGGCGGUUCUCUGGGCCUGUACUGACGCUGAGGAGCGAAAGCGUGGGGAGCGAACAGGAUUAGAUACCCUGGUAGUCCACGCCGUAAACGUUGGGCGCUAGGUGUG
rnacentral:rRNA from 1 species